GUUACGUUUGAAUGUCCCUAUUAUUUGGUUCUGAUUCUCGCUAUUUACUCAAUCGCUAUCCUAACAAGAACCUUUGCAUUGUUAUGGUUCUCUGAGUUCAGAACUUUUCUGUUUGAGAUUCUUACAGUAGAGAAAUCUACUUUCAUGGAGAAUGAAGUGGUUGUAGCAAAUCAAGCGAAUGGAACAAAGAGAAAGAGCGAAUUCCAACUUAAAUCUGUGGAGAGUUUUUAUUUGUGGGGGCUAUGUCAAUUGCAGCCAUGGUGUUUGGAGAUUACAAGGGUCGUUAGCUUUAUCUAGGGGGAUUGGUGAUUCACAUCUUAAGAAAUGGGUAAUUGCAGAGGCC